rnacentral:tRNA from 1 species
UCUAAUAUGGCAGAAUAGUGCAAUAAAUUUAAGCUUUAUAUAUGUAAUAUAUAAAAUUACUAUUAGAA